rnacentral:lncRNA from 1 species
GUUAACACCUCGUGCUCGACUCCGGCGAUGGUCUCGGGUACGGGGGUGUUACAGUUUGCAAAUCCUUCAACUGGUUUAGGACUGUUCAGUUCCUUAUCAGAUUCUUCUUCAGUGUCUGUAACUGAAUUAGCUUCAGUUCUAGUUUUAUUUUUUGACUCAUAAGUAUCUAGCUCAGUUGGCUCUUCUUGCUCGCCUUAAUUCAGCUCAUGCACCUUCUCUACUAACCUUUCGAGACCAUGAUUUGUAAUGCAC